rnacentral:rRNA from 1 species
UACGUAGGGGGCAAGCGUUGUCCGGAAUCAUUGGGCGUAAAGCGCGUGUAGGCGGCCAGGUAAGUCCGUUCUGAAAGCCCGGGGCUCAACCCCGGGAGGCGGAUGGAUACUGCUUGGCUCGAGUCCGGAAGAGGCGAGUGGAAUUCCUGGUGUAGCGGUGAAAUGCGCAGAUAUCAGGAGGAACACCAAUGGCGAAGGCAGCUCGCUGGGACGUGACUGACGCUGAGACGCGAAAGCGUGGGGAGCAAACAGG